UUCGCCUUCAUGAAGCUGGAAUUGCUAGUAAUGGCAGGUCAGCAUACUGCCGUGAAUACGUUCCCGGGCCUUGUACACACCGCCCGUCACACCAUGAGAGUUGGAAAUACCCGAAGCCUGUGAGCUAACUUAAAGAGGCAGCAGUCGAAGGUAGAGCCAAUGAUUGGGGUGAAGUCGUAACAAGGUACC
rnacentral:rRNA from 1 species